rnacentral:rRNA from 1 species
CCCCCCGGGGUACCCCGGGGUACCCGGGUAAACCCCGGGGUACCCGGGUACCCGUAAACCCGGGGGGUUUACGGGUAAACGGGUUAAAACCGUAACCGGGUUAACGUUACGGUACCGUAAAACCCCGUUACGGGGUACCCCGGUACCCGUAACAGGGGGAUAACCCGCGGAAACGCGGCCUAAUACCCCGUGACGCCACCGGAGGGCAUCCUCCGGUGGCCAAAGGAGCGAUCCGGUGGCGGAUGGGCAUGCGGCGCAUUAGCUAGACGGCGGGGUGACGGCCCACCGUGGCGACGAUGCGUAGGGGUUCUGAGAGGAAGGCCCCCCACACUGGGACUGAGACACGGCCCAGACUCCUACGGAAGGCAGCAG